AGUGAACGCUGGCGGUAGGCCUAACACAUGCAAGUCGAACGGCAGCACAGUAAGAGCUUGCUCUUACGGGUGGCGAGUGGCGGACGGGUGAGGAAUACAUCGGAAUCUACUUUUUCGUGGGGGAUAACGUAGGGAAACUUACGCUCAUACCGCAUACGACCUACGGGUGAAAGCAGGGGAUCUUCGGACCUUGCGCGAUUGAAUGAGCCGAUGUCGGAUUGGCUAGUUGGCGGGGUAAAGGCCCACCAAGGCGACGAUCCGUAGCUGGUCUGAGAGGAUGGUCAGCCGCACUGGAGCGGGGACGCGGUCCAGACUCCUACGGGAGGCAGCAGUGGGGAAUAUUGGACAAUGGGCGCAAGCCUGAUCCAGCCAUACCGCGUGGGUGAAGAAGGCCUUCGGGUUGUAAAGCCCUUUUGUUGGGAAAGAAAAGCAGCAGGUUAAUACCCCGCUGUUCUGACGGUACCCAAAGAAUAAGCACCGGCUAACUUCGUG
rnacentral:rRNA from 1 species